rnacentral:rRNA from 1 species
UACGGAGGGUGCAAGCGUUAUCCGGAUUUACUGGGUUUAAAGGGUGCGUAGGUGGAUAAUUAAGUCAGUGGUGAAAUCUUCAGGCUUAACCUGGAAACUGCCAUUGAUACUAUUUAUCUUGAAUACUUUGGAGGUAAGCGGAAUAUGUCAUGUAGCGGUGAAAUGCGUAGAUAUCUGGAGGAACACCGGUGGCGAAGGCGGCAUCCUGGACCGGUAUUGACGCUGAGGCGCGAAAGCUAGGGGAGCAAACGGG